UGAAAAUUAUACAGGAGCUCGUUGUGAAGAGGUUUUUCUCCCAAGCUCCAGCAUCCAAAGUAAAAGUGACCUGUUUGUAUCAUUCCUGGCAUUGGCUGUUCUUCUGGCAACACUUAUUAUUGGAGCCCUCUACUUCCUUUGCAGGAAAGGCCACCUUCCGAGGGCAAAUCCAGUUCAGUAUGAUAACAGCCUGGUAGAGAUAAGCAGUGCCCCUGUCCACCAUGGUCAUGGAGGACCUUGAAGAAAUAUCUAAUUGAACCAAAUCAUUGCUUCUUUCUAAAAGACAAAAUGAAACACGGACUCGCAGAUUCAUACCCAUUUUCUACAAAUGAAAAUCAAACCAGUUAUCUAAUCUCACAAUGUUCAAUCAAAAGGAUUUGGCGUCUUUAUGAAAAUGUAUGGUAAAGUCAAUCUAGGUUACACUGUGUGUCCACACUGUUUGUAAGAGCAGGUUUUUUCCUUCUAAGUUUUUGUGGAUUUGGAUAUUGGACUUACAUUUUUUGGUGUUCACUUGUGUUAAAUUUGUAUUUACAUAUAGUAAAACUUGCUACAUGGCUUCCUUUACUAGGUUAAGAAGCUAGCAUAUUUGCCAGUGAUCUGGGUUUAAGCAAAGUUGAGAGAUCUGUACAGUAGAGUACUGGAUUCCCUUUAUCAGUAUAGGUGAAUGUAGAUUAUGUAACUGUGUACAAUGUAUCUACUACUGGUUUUAGUCCCAAGAUUUUCUUUACUCAGCCUCUUCUCCCCUUUAUAUUCUAUACCAAGAUUACAAGCUAAGGCUAAAUAUACUGUUCAUAACUGUGAAGCCUGACCUCUGAGAAACCCUAUGUCACUCUCCAGUAUUUUGUGGAAUGGCUACUAGCUAACUCCUUUGGUAAAAUGGCCUUAACUUGAAAAAAAAAAAAAAAUAAUCCUUUGAACUUCAGGCUUGUUUUGCUACUAUUUUCAAUUUCAAAAUCCCUUUACUAGUCAAACAACUCUGAUAACAUCAGGGACAAAGGAAGUUUAUGAAAUAUCCCUCCUAUGCUAUGUAAGCAUAUCCAAGAAUCCA